rnacentral:ribozyme from 1 species
UAUAUACUAUAUAUAAGUACGCAUUAACUAGAUUAAGACGAGCCAGAACAGAAAUCGAAAAAUGGCUUCUUUUUUUUUUUUUUUCCUUUGGAUUUCUCUCUCUCUCUCUUCUCUCUUGUAUUAGUGGGUUUU